AUGCUCACUUCAGCAGCACAUAUACUAAAAUUGGAAUAGUACAGAGAAGAUUAGUAUGGAUGACAUGCAAAUUUUUGAAGUGUUUCAUAUUUUU
rfam:Callithrix jacchus chromosome 9, whole genome shotgun sequence